rnacentral:rRNA from 1 species
GAUGAACGCUGGCGGCGUACCUAAUACAUGCAAGUCGAGCGAACAGACGAGGAGCUUGCUCCUCUGACGUUAGCGGCGGACGGGUGAGUAACACGUGGAUAACCUACCUAUAAGACUGGGAUAACUUCGGGAAACCGGGGCUAAUACCGGAUAAUAUAUUGAACCGCAUGGUUCAAUAGUGAAAGACGGUUUUGCUGUCACUUAUAGAUGGAUCCGCGCCGCAUUAGCUAGUUGGUAAGGUAACGGCUUACCAAGGCGACGAUGCGUAGCCGACCUGAGAGGGUGAUCGGCCACACUAGAACUGAGACACGGUCCAGACUCCUACGGGAGGCAGCAGUAGGGAAUCUUCCGCAAUGGGCGAAAGCCUGACGGAGCAACGCCGCGUGAGUGAUGAAGGUCUUCGGAUCGUAAGACUCUGUUAUUAGGGAAGAACAAAUGUGUAAGUAACUAUGCACGUCUUGAGGGUACCUAAUCAGAAAGCCACGUCUAACUACGAG